UUUUACACAUGGUCUCUUUUGAAGAACGAAAAAAUUGGAACAACACAAAAACGAUUAGCAUCUCCCCUGCACAAGGAUGACACACAGAUGACCUCUCACACAUGAUA